GGGAGACACAGCGUUCCGAGUUGUAUUUUUUAUUAUUUUUGUAAGUUUGAUUCUAGCUUAUUUUAAUUGCUUUUUGGUAGAUAUAUAUACAUUUAUUUAUUAGAUAGUUUCUUGUUUGUAAUUUGGAAUUUUGUUUUAUGUUGGAGGAAUCUUGAGACAGUUAUUUUUAUAAUGAAUUGACUAAUUUUGUGCCAGCAGUCGCGGUUACACAAUUGAUUCAAGUGAUUAUGUGGUUGGUGCAUUCUUGCUUUUAUUUAAAAUUAAACAUAUUGAUUUAUUGGGUGGAAUCUUAACUUUUUUUUAUUAUUGUUUUGUGAUUAUGUUAAAGUUAGUUAUUAAACUAGGAUUAGAUACCCUAUUAUUCUGGCUGUAAUUUUUGUUCCUUUAAGACUUUUAGUUCUUUCUUUAAAUUAAAAGGAUUUGGCGGUAAUUUAAUCUUUUUAGAGGAACCUGUUUGGUAAAUGAUAAGCCACGAGGUAAUUUACUUUUAUUUUGCUUGUAUACCUCUAUGUUGAAUGUUCUAUUAGGAUUAUUUUCCUUUAUUAUUGGAUAAUGGAUUUUAGGUCAAGGUGCAGCUGUAUAAGAGGUUGAAUGGGUUACAGUUAUUUUAUUAUUGGAUUUUAAUGUGUAAUUAUUAUUGAAAGAGGAUUUAAAAGUAAUUUUUAUUAUAUAAUAAUGGUGAAUAUAGCUCUGGGUUAUGUACACAUCGCCCGUCGCUCCCGCUUAUAAAGGCGGGAUAAGUCGUAACAAAGUAGGCUUACCGGAAGGUGAGCCUGGUAAGU
rnacentral:ncRNA from 1 species